AUUGAACGCUGGCGGCAGGCCUAACACAUGCAAGUCGAACGGUAACAGGAAGAAGCUUUCUUCUUUGCUGACGAGUGGCGGACGGGUGAGAAAUGUCUGGGAAACUGCCUGAUGGAGGGGGAUAACUACUGGAAACGGUAGCUAAUACCGCAUAACGUCGCAAGACCAAAGAGGGGGACCUUCGGGCCUCUUGCCAUCGGAUGUGCCCAGAUGGGAUUAGCUAGUAGGUGGGGUAACGUCUCACCUAGGCGACGAUCCCUAGCUGGUCUGAGAGGUUGACCGGCCACACUGGAACUGAGACACGGUCCAGACUCCUACGGGAGGCAGCAGUGGGGAAUAUUGGACAAUGGGCGCAAGCCUGAUGCAGCCAUGCCGCGUGUAUGAAGAAGGCCUUCGGGUUGUAAAGUACUUUCAGCGGGGAGGAAGGGAGUAAAGUUAAUACCUUGGCUCAUUGACGUUACCCGCAGAAGAAGCACCGGCUAACUACGUG
rnacentral:rRNA from 1 species